ACGCGGGUCGAGAUCGCCAGGUUGGAGACGGCUGCUCUCCUCUUCAUCGCCCUUUUCUCGAACCCCAUCGCUCUUGGAUCUAUCUCCUCCUCCUCUUGUUCUUCUAAUCUCUUCUUCUUCCUCCUCGCCAGUAUCAUCUUCAUCUUGAUCCUGCAUUCUUCUUCUUCUUCUUCUUCUUCUUCUUCUUCUCCAUAUCAAGAUCCCGGUUCUUUUCGAGUAGGAUCCUGUCGGCGUAGAUCUUUAGCCCCCAUCGAGGCUGAUGGAACAGGACGACGGCGAGGCGGUGACGUCCAACGGGAGAUCAGGGAAUCCUCCUCAUCUCCUCCUCCUCUCGGGUCGAUCGCUCCCCGUAAACCUAGGAACCCUUCUUCCCUUAAUCCAUGUCCUCCUCCUCUGAUCGGGGUCCUGCCGUUGUCUUUAAAGAUGCCUUCAGUGGUGGUAGGCGCACCCCGAUCGGAACUGCUAGACAAGCCGGUGAUGGCCGACGAGGAGACCGGCGAAUCCUCCUCCUCUUAGAUUGCUUUCGGAGGUGGUAGCGCACCCGAUCGAGGCUACUGUAACACAACGACAACGAGUCGGUCGCUCCCCGUAAACCUAGUAACCCUUAACCCCUUGAUCCACCACCUCCUCGUCCUCUCCCGAUCGGGAUCUCCGUUCUUUUCUUUCAAGAUCCUUCCAGCGGUGGUAGCACACCCCGAUGAUUACUGCUCGAACUCGACGACGACCAGCUGGGAUUGGGUAGCGAUGGCCCAGAAGAAGAGUGGUCGGUCCUCUCCUCUUUGAUCUGUUUCCAGGCCUGUUACAAAUUCCAUGACCGAUUUGAUCUCUUCCUCCUUUCUUAUUGUUGUCCCUAACAAUCUUUAGAUCUUAAGAACAUGUAGUUUCUCUCUUGGUUUUGAUGCAGAUCUCUUGUAGACUGUUCUCGUUUAUGUGAGAUUGUGAAAUUACAGGAACAAGGUUCGUUUGUAUAUGAAUGGGAAGUCUGGCGCUGGUUAUCACCUCUGGUUCUUCUACUAACAACGAAGAAUCUUUACCUUCAAUAAGAUUAGACAAGAUUCAUAUUAGGGAUUUUGUGAGAUUAGAUAUAUGGUCAUGUUUAGUCUUUGAUAACCCUUAAGGCGUGGGAUACGGCAAACAACCCUAGCGCAAGUUAGGUACCAUAAGUUCUUGGGUAAGGGGAAAAAUGGUAGGAGUUUAUUAGGGUCUAGCGGUGAAUUUUUUUAUUGGACUCGGCAGCACCAUCUUCAACUUUCUUGUGGCUUGAGUAUGCCACAUUUUACUGAAACUAGGAAAAUGUAGUCUACUCAAACUAUUCUGCUCUAAUAUUUAUUAUAUUGGAUUCCUUUGAUUUUUUUAUGUGCUGAAAUUGUUGUGUGGUAAUUGAAAAUGUUCAAGUGUCAAGAUGGAAAAAACUCACUUAAGACAUGGUACUUCUUUUGUUUUCUAAAUGGAUGAUGUUCUGCUAGGAACUAUGCACAUACAGUUAAGAGAAUUUAUUCAAUCUAGCUUCUUUGUGCAUGCUAAAUCUGUCUUCCCAUUUUCAUUCUGUUUUGGCAGUGGCUGAAUUUUUCAUUAUGUUGUAGUCUUAUGUUUGACUUCUUCAAGCGCUUACUACUGGAACACUAAUCUUUAGCAUAUAUCUUAAUACCUUGAGAUGUAAACACUGUUAUGAAAUCUUUAUGCAUUAUGCUUAUUGCCCAGUUUUUAUCAAUAAUUUUGGGUACUUUUUCUUUAUGGUAAAUUUCACGGGUGGUUUUUCAUGGAAUCUCUUGGUUAUGUAUUUAUACACAAAAUUGCAUUUCAUUAACUGAUUUUUCACUUCUUUAAUUUUUCCCAAGGUUCAUAAAUUUUCAGGUAGUUUCUCGGUUAGUGCUUGUUUAUAGUGCUUUUUUUAAUGUAUAACUAUCCUUAUAAAGUUUGAAGCUAGUAUGUCUAUCUUGCGAGCAUUAAUAUAACAUAUCUGUGCCUCCAAAUAUUAAGAUGCUUUAGAUGUACCCUUCCCAUUAACAUCCACUUGAAAAUCUCAGGUUAACUGCUUUUGAUAUGUGAUUAACAUUACCUAGUUUGAAUUAGAAUAUAUAUAAAAGAUACCUUGAGAGAUGUUAAAUAAAAUUUGAACUAACAAUCGUAAGACAAUCUGUUAAUGGCGAUUAACUACAAGGAUACAUGGGCAAGUUUUUUUGGUUUUGUAAUGAAAAAGAGGCCUAAAAUUAAAUUUAAAGUAAUUGACUUUUGAAGGAUAUGUAUAACUUUACCACCUUUUCUUAUAUUUUUUGUCAAAUGAUGAGAGAG